rnacentral:rRNA from 1 species
CGCGUAGGCGGCUUGUUAAGUCAAAGGUGAAAACCCUCGGCUCAACUGAGGAACUGCCUUUGAAACUAGCGAGCUUGAGGCCGGGAGGGGGUAGCGGAAUUCCCAGUGUAGCGGUGAAAUGCGUAGAUAUUGGGAGGAACACCAGUGGCGAAGGCGGCUACCUGGACCGGUACUGACGCUGAGGCGCGAAAGCGUGGGUAGCAAACA